rnacentral:rRNA from 1 species
ACGAACGCUGGCGGCGUGCCUAACACAUGCAAGUCGAACGGAGAUACGAUUUCGGUUGUAUCUUAGUGGCGAACGGGUGAGUAACGCGUGAGCAACCUGACUCUUAGAGGGGGAUAACACUCGGAAACGGGUGCUAAUACCGCAUAAGACCACGACAUGGCAUCAUGACGAGGUCAAAGGAGCAAUCCGCUGAGAGAGGGGCUCGCGUCCCAUUAGAUAGAUGGCGGGGUAACGGCCCACCAUGUCCGCGAUGGGUAGCCGAGCUGAGAGGCUGAUCGGCCACACUGGAACUGAGACACGGUCCAGACUCCUACGGGAGGCAGCAGUGGGGAAUAUUGGGCAAUGGGCGCAAGCCUGACCCAGCAACGCCGCGUGAGGGAAGAAGGCUUUCGGGUUGUAAACCUCUGUCCUUGGUGACGAAAAAAAUGACGGUAGCCAAGGAGGAAGCCCCGGCUAACUACGU